rnacentral:rRNA from 1 species
GAUGAACGCUGGCGGCGUGCCUAAUACAUGCAAGUCGAGCGAACAGACGAGGAGCUUGCUCCUCUGACGUUAGCGGCGGACGGGUGAGUAACACGUGGAUAACCUACCUAUAAGACUGGGAUAACUUCGGGAAACCGGAGCCAAUACCGGAUAAUAUAUUGAACCGCAUGGUUCAAUAGUGAAAGACGGUUUUGCUGUCACUUAUAGAUGGAUCCGCGCCGCAUUAGCUAGUUGGUAAGGUAACGGCUUACCAAGGCAACGAUGCGUAGCCGACCUGAGAGGGUGAUCGGCCACACUGGAACUGAGACACGGUCCAGACUCCUACGGGAGGCAGCAGUAGGGAAUCUUCCGCAAUGGGCGAAAGCUUGACGGAGCAACGCCGCGUGAGUGAUGAAGGUCUUCGGAUCGUAAAACUCUGUUAUUAGGGAAGAACAAAUGUGUAAGUAACUAUGCACGUCUUGACGGUACCUAAUCAGAAAGCCACGGCUAACUACGUG